UGUAACGAGUCAUUUUUACGUUAUUAAUGAAAUGUAACAUUUUUAACAAACACCACGGAGUAGACCCAGGUCAUGUUGGAGAGUUUAUGUCUCCCGGCUGGCUUUGGAACGCUUCGAGACUUCUUGGAAGUAGCUAGACUCAGUGGUUGGGGAGAGGGAGGUUUGGGCUACUUAACUUAGGCUGCUGCCCCCGCGACCCGACCUCAGAUAUACGGAAUGAGAAGGAGGGAUUUUUGACAAACAAAAACAAAUUAAAGGGUCAUCCUAAUAUUUAAUUAGAAAUAUGUUUUUUCGACAAACAUCCAUCUUAAUUGUUUAUUAUUAUUAUUGAUACAUAUUUAAAUGUAUAAUGAAUAACUUAUUACAUUACCAAAACGAAUCCUUAUAUACAUUCUGAAUGAAAAUAUACAAAUUUCAAACAUCUCACCCGUAUUGGACACAUUUAGAGAGAGGAAAAACGCCAAAUUUGAGUAAAAAUGAUUUAAAAAUCAGAUUUAACAACAAAAACCCGGCAAGAAGGAGCUGUCAUAGAAGAUGAGUUGAAAAGGCGACACAACCUUGAAGUCCGAAAGGCUCCCCUUUCCUUCCAGAAGUGUCCUCAGGCCCAGUAGCCGAUGACAAAAGCCGCCACAGAGAGACAGAUGAUCAGGUUUGCGUUCACCAGCUGCUGCAGACAAGGAUUUUCUUCCAGUUUGUUGCAUUCAGGUUCUGCAGGAAUCUCCGGCGUCUUCUGUCCUUCCUUUGUUCUGCUGUCCAUGCCACACAGCCAGUAGAGGGCGGACACCAGCCUGGACCCAGGUCUCCCACUGGGUGUUGUUGACUCUACAGGGAAAACAGAUGAAGACUCAGACCUGGACAACGGAUCCAUAGAAAGACAAGAAAAACCUUUUCUCUCGCUGCUCUCGUCCGGUCUUCCUGUUCCCUCGUCCGUCCGAGGCAUGACCAACUCCAAGUUGAGCUCUUUGCGCUCCACGUGGACAAAUCGUGUGAACCAAGACUAGUGACUCCAACACAAGCGGUCUUACCUGCUCUGCUGGGGGCUCCUCCGUGGCCAGACUGGCGCCCACCACCACCACCAGCGUGAUGAGGGACAGAACUAUGGAGAAGUACAGACAUGAGCGGAGAGCUUGCGUCGUACCGGCUGCCUUCGUCUCGUUGAGAAACGUGGCUUCCCUCGGAGACACUGGCGGUCACCACACCCGUGACCACACCCCUCCAACUUUCAGACCUUCACUCUCACUUUCCUCAUCCACGAAUCUUUGAUCCUCGCUCAAAUUAAUGGGGAAAUCGUCGCUUUCUCGGUCCGAAUCGCUCUGGCUGCUGGUGGCCAUGAUUGUAAACAAUGUUCAGAUGUGAGGAGCUCCACAACCCGUGACGUCACGCGCACAUCGUCUGCUACUUCCGGUACAGAAGCAUCCCAUGAGGAAGACGAUGGAGACGGGGGGCUGCAGGUUGGUGCUGAUGGCCUGGAUGUAGAUGAAGAGCUGCCCGCCCUGACUGGCUUGCACCACAGGAAUCCACAGGAUGGACGCCACCACCAGCACCAGCACAAACACUCUAGCAGGUGUUCCAAAAAAAUCACUUCUGCUCAAUUUCCACAGGAGUUUUUGGUGUCCAAAAUGAAGGCUCACCUGCCCACGAUCAUCAGCUCCCACUCGGAGGCGCUGGAGCGGAAGGUCUUCCACAGGUCCAUGGUGAAGAUGGUGCUGGCGCUGUUAAAGAUGGAGGUGAGCGAGGAGACCAGAGCGGCGAUCAUCACCGCCAUCAUCAGACCUCGUAGACCUGAGGGACGUAGGAGCAGCUUUUAGAGCCCGAGAAGGCCCAACACAUACUUGCCAACUUUGAGACCUCCCAUUUCGGGAGGUGGGGGGCGUGGUCAGAGGGGAGGAGUAUAUUUACAGCUAGAAUUGACCAAGUCAAGUAUUUCAUAUAUGUAUGUAUAUAUAUAUAUAUAUAUACACACACACACACAGUAUUUAGUCAGCCAGCGAUUGUGCAAGUUCUCCCACUUAAAAUGAUGACAGAGGUCUGUAAUUUUCAUCAUAGUUUCCAUAGUGUUUCCACCCCCAUGCUUCACAGUAGGUGUGGUGUUCUUGGGAUGCAACUCAGUAUUCUUCGUCCUCCAAACACCACCAGUUGAUUUUAUACCAAAAAGUUCUAUUUUGGUUUCAUCUGACCACAUGACAUUCUCCCAAUCCUCUGCUGUAUCAUCCAUGUAUCCAUCUUGGUAUAAACUCAACUCCUCGUGUUUGGAGGAAGAAGAAUACUGAGUUGCAUCCCAAGAACACCAUACCUACUGUGAAGCAUGGUUGAUUGAUUAAUACUUUUAUUAGUAGAUUGCACAGUACAGUACAUAUUCCGUACAAUUGACCACUAAAUGGUAACACCCGAAUAAGUUUUUCAACUUGUUUAAGUCGGGGUCCUUGUUAAUCAAUUCAUGGGGGUGGAAACAUCAUGCUUUGGGGCUGUUUUUCUGCUAAGGGGACAGGACAAUUGAUCCGUGUUAAGGAAAGAAUGAAUGGGGCCAUGUAUCCUGAGAUUUGGAGCCAAAACCUCCUUCCAUCAGUGAGAGCUUUGAAUGCUUGACCAAAUACUUAUUUUCCACCAUAAUUUACAAAUAAAUUCUUCAAAAUUCCUACAAUGUGAAUUCCUGGAUUUUUUUUUCAAGUUCUGUCUCUCACAGUGUAAGUGUACCUAUGAUGAAAAUUACAGACCUCUGUCAUCAUUUUAAGUGGGAGAACUUGCACAAUCGCUGGCUGAC